ACGGGAGGCAGCAGCUAAGAAUAUUCCGCAAUGGACGAAAGUCUGACGGAGCGACGCCGCGUGGAUGGUGAAGGUCGAAAGAUUGUAAAAUCCUUUUAGGAGUGAAGAAUAAGCGGUGCAGGGAAUGGCAUCACGGUGACGGUAGCUCCUGAAUAAGCAACGGCUAAUUACGUGCCAGCAGCCGCGGUAACACGUAAGUUGCGAGCGUUGUUCGGAAUUAUUGGGCGUAAAGGGUAUGUAGGCGGUCGUGCAAGCUUGGUGUGAAAGGCAGGGGCUCAACCCCUGGACUGCAUUGAGAACUGCAUGACUUGAAUUGCUGAAGGGCAGCCGGAAUUCCAGGUGUAGGGGUGAAAUCUGUAGAUAUCAGGAAGAAUACCAAUGGCGAAGGCAGGUUACCAGCAGAUGACUGACGCUGAGGUGCGAAGGUGCGGGGAGCAAACAGGAUUAGAUACCCUGGUA
rnacentral:rRNA from 1 species